CAAAUCUGAACGGAGGUUAAGGUGUUAAAGGAAUGGGGGAGGUGGGAAGCAGAGCAGAAAGGCGGGAGGUGGUCGCAGGAUAUUGCCUGGGACUGCCGGCUCAGUGGAUUUUGGGAAUUGUAGUCCGCCAGUCGUCCAGGGCAUUCCGGUUUAGGGAACCUGACUACGAGUCCCAGAAGCCUUCGGAGCGGCUCUCUGGGAACGCACUUCCGGGGACGCCGAGAGGGAGACGCUCCGAGAGGCUCUUCAGUGUGGGCGAGGGAAAAUGCCCUGGAUGUGAGAAACAGGUCCAGGUCAUCUUGGCUGUGUUCAGAUGUGCAUAUAUUUCUUCUAAGUUGAGUAAAGUUGUUUUGGAACCUUCAAGUACCUCAAAGAUCUGACUGGCGGUACUG
rnacentral:lncRNA from 1 species